rnacentral:rRNA from 1 species
AUAAUACUCCAUAGAUUAGAGACACUGGAAUGUUCUUUAGUCGAAAGUUCUGGCGCCUUAGGAUGGAUCUGCGGUCGAUUAGGUUGUUGUUGGGGUAACGGCCCAACAAGCCUGUAAUCGAUACGGGUUGUGGGAGCAAGAGCCCGGAGAUGGAAUCUGAGACACGGUUCCAGGCCCUACGGGGCGCAGCAGGUGCGAAAACUUUACAAUGCAGGAAACUGUGAUAAGGGAACUCCGAGUGCCCGUAUACGCGGGCUGUCCAGGUGUUUAAAAAUCAUCUGAAGAAAGGGCCGGGCAAGACCGGUGCCAGCCGCCGCGGUAAUACCGGCGGCUCGAGUGGUGGCCACUAUUAUUGGGCUUAAAGCGUCCGUAGCUGGACCGAUAAGUCUCUUGGGAAAUCCGCCGGCUCAACCGGCGGGCGUCUAAGGGAUACUGUUAGUCUAGGGACCGGGAGAGGUGAGAGGUACUCCGGGGGUAGGAGUGAAAUCCUGUAAUCCCCGGGGGACCACCGAUGGCGAAGGCAUCUCACCAGAACGGCUCCGACAGUGAGGGACGAAAGCUGGGGGAGCGAACCGGAUUAGAUACCCGGGUAGUCCCAGCCGUAAACUAUGCGCGUUAGGUGU